rnacentral:rRNA from 1 species
UACGUAGGGGGCAAGCGUUGUCCGGAAUCAUUGGGCGUAAAGAGCGUGUAGGUGGCUCGGUAAGUCCGCUGUGAAAGUCCAGGGCUCAACCCUGGAAUGCCGGUGGAAACUGUCGAGCUCGAGUCCGGAAGAGGCGAGUGGAAUUCCUGGUGUAGCGGUGAAAUGCGCAGAUAUCAGGAGGAACACCAAUGGCGAAGGCAGCUCGCUGGGACGGUACUGACACUGAGACGCGAAAGCGUGGGGAGCAAACAGG